AGCGAGUCUGCACUCUGGAAUAACAUGUCGGAUUCGUAUACUCAUGACUAGAGGCAGACUCGUUUG
rnacentral:pre_miRNA from 1 species